rnacentral:rRNA from 1 species
CGGACGGGUGAGUAACGCGUGAGGAUCUGCCGACAGGACGGGGACAACAGUUGGAAACGACUGCUAACACCCGAUGUGCCGAGAGGUGAAAUAUUUAUAGCCUGUCGAUGAGCUCGCGUCUGAUUAGCUAGUUGGUUAGGUAAUGGCUGACCAAGGCGACGAUCAGUAACUGGUCUGAGAGGAUGACCAGUCACACUGGGACUGAGACACGGCCCAGACUCCUACGGGAGGCAGCAGUGGGGAAUUUUCCGCAAUGGGCGCAAGCCUGACGGAGCAAUACCGCGUGAGGGAGGACGGCUCUUGGGUUGUAAACCUCUUUUCUCUGGGAAGAACACAAUGACGGUACCAGAGGAAUCAGCAUCGGCUAACUCCGUGCCAGCAGCCGCGGUAAUACGGAGGAUGCAAGCGUUAUCCGGAAUUAUUGGGCGUAAAGCGUCCGUAGGUGGUUUUGAAAGUCUAUUGUCAAAGCGCGGGGCUUAACCUCGUAAGGGCAGUAGAAACUAUGAGACUAGAGUUCGGUAGGGGUCAGGGGAAUUCCCAGUGUAGCGGUGAAAUGCGUAGAUAUUGGGAAGAACACCAGCGGCGAAAGCGCCUGACUGGGCCUGAACUGACACUGAUGGACGAAAGCUAGGGGAGCGAAAGGGAUUAGAUACCCCUGUAGUC